GAUAUGAAAUUCCUGGUAUCCACCUCUAAGGGCCUAAAUGACCGCUCAGUAAUAAAAGGAGGUAGGGGAGCAGAGACAGGCAGGAGAACAAACCCUUUAUUACAAAGGGGAUCAAAAUUGUUAAGUGUUAUCAUCCUCACUUCACGACGUCUUGUGUUCGACAAAGCAGAAGACGGCAAGUGUGGAAGUUUUUGCAAAACUAGUGUAGUGGUUAUGGUGAAAAGCAAUUAAAUGGUUUUGUAACAUAAACGGGGUUAGAUUCUGAAAAGUUUUUUAUGGACGCUCCAUAUCAGAAUACAACACUACCUGAGUUGGAUGAACCAGUUCCUAAUGAGAAGGCCAUGGAUUUGUGCACAGAAGACCUUGGCUGUGUGGAGAGGAUAAAGGAGUUGCAUGAUUACCUCGACAUGGUAAAGAAGAUAGGGAAGCCAGGUUGCUCUGAAGAAGUGCUGGAGGUUGCCUUGAGUUCUAUAUCCUCACUCAUCAACCUCCUAACCGUUGCCUCUACACCAAAACUCCAUGCCUCACUUUGACAAGAGAGUAUCUCUUCCAGUCUCAUGCACCCUAUGUGAGACUGACAUGUGGAUCCUAAGCCUAUGGGACCCAUAUGUCAGUUUUACAUAGGAUGCAUGAGAUGAGCGCUUUUUUUUUUUUUUUUGAGAAAGGAUGAGCGCAUUUUCAAAAUUUCACCAAUUUGACAGGUUUUUAUUUUGUUUGUAAUGUUACUUGGUAUGAGGAAGAAUCUGCUCUUAAUCCUAUUGCAUUUGGGCCUUGACGUCCACCUGUUAUGUAA